rnacentral:rRNA from 1 species
CUGCUGCCUUCCGUAGGAGUUUGGACCGUGUCUCAGUUCCAAUGUGGGGGACCUUCCUCUCAGAACCCCUACGCAUCGUCGGCUUGGUGGGCCGUUACCCCGCCAACAAGCUAAUGCGACGCAUGACCAUCCGUAGCCGGAAUCGCUUCCUUUAAACCCACAGAGAUGCCUCCAUGGGUUGUUACGCGGUAUUAGACGGAAUUUCUUCCGCUUAUCCCCCUGCUACGGGCAGGUUUCAUACGUGUUACUCACCCGUGCGCCGGUCGCCGGCGGG